rnacentral:lncRNA from 1 species
CUCCAUAGCCUAAGCAAGAAAAUCAAACUCCACAUCACGUCGGAAACUUCGAUCAAUUCAUCAACUCAACAUCCGAUCCGGUCAUCAUUGCUUUAGUACCAACAAUCUACGAGCACCAUCCAAAACGAGUACUAAAUGGCGAGGAUGCAUGAACGGGGAUGGCUUCUGGAUGGCGGCGAUGCUUUCACGGUUAGAACGAAAAACCUAAAAUAGCUUGGACGUGAGAGAAAGGAGUGAAAUAAGGAAUAAAAUGAAAUUUUGUCACAAUAAUAGACGGAAUAGAAAAGAUAGAGUGAGGUGUACCUGAUCGAUCGGGUAUGGGACCGGCGAAUCUCACCCCUAAAGUCGUAGUGGAAAUAUACAUAGCCGCCGUCCUCUUUAUUCCGAACGAAAAACCUAAAAUCGCUUGGACGUGAGAGAGAGAAGUGAAAUGGGGAAUAAAAUGAAAUUUUGUCACAAUAAUCGAUGAAAUGGAAAAGAUAGAGCGAGGUGUACUUGAUCGAUCGGGUACGAAAUCGGAGAAUCUCACCCCUAAAAUCGUAGUAGAAAUGUACACCGCCGCCCUUUCUAUUCCGUGUUCCCUCUUUCAGGUCUAUGAAGGUUCGUGGUUGACUUUAUAUAGAUUUUUCAAAAUAAAUGAAGGAUUUAGAUUAAUAUCAUAUAAGAUAUAAGGUUAUAUCUCAUUAUUAAUAUUCCAGCUGAAGUUAAGUUUAUAUAAAUCAAAAAGUAUAUCAUGCUCAAAUAAUGAAGAUAUUAUCUGGCAUUAGUCCUGGAUGACCAGAGAUUGCAAACUUG